rnacentral:lncRNA from 1 species
AAAGAGGUAUGCUAUUUCUGUUGUGAAAAAGUAUUUUUUCUAAUGAGAAAUCUCACUCACUUGUUUAUUUGAUCUAUUUUAUAGAGUUUACCGUUUACCAUUUGAUUUUGUGACACUGAAGUUUUCAAUAGGACCAAAUUUGUCAACAAUUACCAAGCGAUCGUCAAUGUAGAUAUACUAGGGUUCACGCGCGACAUGCAGAACAGUAAAAAAUAUCUGCCUGACACAACUAAUAAAUUAUUGAGAAUUGAUUUUUCCUAUUAUUUAUAUUUAAGCAGCUAAUUUUAUAGCAAGGUUGCUAGCGGUCGAUUCGGCGAAUUCAUCGAGUCCUGUGUGACGUUUGGCCGCCUUACGAUUAGCAGCCAACUGGUACUUAGUUAGAACGAUGCCACUAACAAGGAGAACAGAGAAGGCACUGCGAAGGUUGAAGUGUGGUACUUUUUUCGUGCUCAACUAUAUAUAGGUCCGUAUAUUAGCUACGGCCGUAAGAGAAGCUUUGCUCUUAAUGCAAAGAUUGGGAAGAGCUUUACUUAUCGCGUUCAAGAAACUAGAUGCGGAUGACGUUGCAUCGUGGUUCUAGCGACAAUAGGAAGCCGCCAGCCACUUCGACUAUUUGCUUGCACAGAUGUGACGGUUUAUACACAAACAGUGAGUAACGAUUAUCUCGUGACACCACCAGCCUGGCCCCGUUGACAUAAUAACAGCUAGUCAUUAGACAAGGCUACCACUACUCCAGGCCUAUAAUCCUCACGAUGAGCACACGUUUGUAACUGUUUGUGGUUGACUUUGUCUGCUGUGUUUAGCUAGAAAUUUUCGAUAUAUUUUGUCGUUAAAUGGGCAUUGCUUAUACCUAUCACUGGUUUAUGGAGUCGCUGCUGGUACCAACUGUGAACUGUAAGAUACCAUUGUGGCUUCUCGUAGCUUCAACGAGGGCGGCCAGGGUCUGUUUACAAGCAUCUAUCUAUCUAUUGUGCCUUUUACGAAUAUCAGCUCAUAUUAGAAAGGUCAGUGGAAGCCGCCGGCGGACAGUCUAUUCUAAACUUAUUCUAGCACGGAUUGUUCUGUGCAUUCAGAAAUCACUAAAGCAUCAUCAUAAGAUCAACAGCUAAAAAAUGGUGCACCAGUUAGCCUUCUGCGAAGACAGUGAAAUGUGGUCUUUGUUCGAAUCGUGGUUCACCCCGUUCAGCCGUUGUUUCGAGUGGACCGCUUUGUGCUACGUGCCAUUUGUUUAUUUGGCACUCGCUUCGUAUGUAUGGAUCUACAUGGCCUAUUUUCGAAAGCGCCUUGUUCGACCUCCAAAAAAGCGCCUCUCGGUUUGGACCCCACUACAAUUUACGCGCUCGGCGUUAGCUGCUUCAUUAAUGACGUUAACUGGCUCUCCUGCAUCAUAGUGCAUGUACUUCACUAUCUUCAUCGCGAUGUUGGCCGACAGACAUCACGAAUCCUGACAUCAUACUGGUCUCUUAUGGCUAUCUUCCACCUGCCAGCUUACUACCGGAUCUGGAUGGAGAUCGUUUAUCCUGCUGUACAGACGAAUUUGGCCACCAACUCUGUAGUACUUCACACUGUCACGUAUCCGCUAAUAAUCGCCUCUCUAACAAUAAACGUCGUCAUGAAUAAAAAUCAGACACUUCUCAAUUACUAUGAAAAUAUUCCCGGUUACAAUCGGAGACGUUCCUUGACUCGGUAGACAACAACACCGGAUCCGUACGAGGUGCUUUGAAUACAACAUCAGGUGGGCGUAAAUUCGCAAAUACCGACAAUGUUAUUGACUUUAUGUUCUUUGACUGAAGUGUGAUUUUCGAUGAUAAAAACAGACAACUGAUAGUAAAAGUACCAUCUGUCCAAAAGUAAUUAGCUAGCUUGCGAGUCACUUGUGAGAAUGGGCCUGUUGAAUCUUUGUUUCCUAUACUGUGUUUAUGCAAAUACUUAGACCUUUAUUAAAAUCUUAGAGAUAAUAGUUUUACGUGUGGAAGCUACAAAUUUGUGUAGUACUUUGGGCUCAUUUAGUUAGAAUUUGCAUUUUACUUACGACAUCAGGGCAGCCACUUCACUGAGCAGACGAAAUUUUGUUCGGGCAGCUGCUGUGCGAGCACUAAGUAAAUCUAUUGUCAGAGUUAGCUUAGAUUGAAAAUAAAUAGAUUAGAAUAAAUAUUAUAACAUUUUUUCUAUCAUCUUAUAUAGUGGAGACGUUACUUUUAGCUCGUGAUAUUAUCGUUUUGUUCCUUUUACAAAGAUUGCAAUUUAUUCAUUUGUGCGCAUGUUCAGCUGUUGUAACAAAGUAAAACUUGCUCCUGUGAUGGUUUAGUAUCAAAGUGUUUAUCAACUAGAUUUGGAUACACGUGGCGAUUUAUGAUUGAAUUUGGACGCACCCAUUCCCUUCACCGAAAACCAACCUUCUAAAACAAUGCCUAACGCAGUACCGGACGAAAAACUCGAACCACUUCAUCGCUAUUAUUAAUAAUGUAUUUAAACAGAUUCAGAAUAUUCAUAAAAUAACGCAAUCCGGCUAAUUAGCAUUUAGUGCUUUAGUGGUAAUUUCCGUGCAAUUAAUUUUCUUUUACUUUUUCCUGUAUAAAAUAAUUCCGACAUAUAUAUAUAUAUGUAUAUAUAUGCUGAAAAGGAAUCUGCCAAAAAUUACCUCAGGGGACUUCAAAUUCGGCCGUAGUCUUGAAUAGCUGGUUAAAUCUAAAGCAAAUUUUGUUCAAUUUUAUUUUUUUUCAAAUUUUGUUUUUUGGCAAGAAAAUUGCCUUGCACAUUUCCUCUCAAAUUUUUCUAUCAUACGCUAUUAUCCAUGUAGGGCAAAAAGACAGAAAAAUACUGAGACAAAAAAUUGUUGGUACAAAAGCCUAGAAAAAGGGUUACUAUUAGAAGCAGCGCGUUAGGCUUAAUUUUUAGAACAGUAUGUAUUUUUAACAAAAAAAAAAAAAAAAAUAGGACUCCAGUCCAA